rnacentral:lncRNA from 1 species
CAUAACAGGAGUUUAAGGAGAAUUAACUGGGGCUGGAGGUUGUUGUACAACCGGAUUGGUUCUAAUAUAUUGGGUGAACCAAUCAUUCAUCAUUUGAUAGAAGGCUUGAUUAGCCUCAACAUCACGGCUACCCGUAGUCGGUCAAGAAUCAGCUUGCACCGUCCCUUGCGCGGGAGCAGGCGCAUUGCUUCCAACAUCGUCAACUAUAGCUCUAUCGGGAUCCAUUUUCUAUAUAAAAGCGCAUUUU